CUGAUUUUUAUAAAUGUAUAUGAUUAUUUUACAUAAAUUGCGUGUGGAAAACUAUAUUUCAUCAAUGUCACAUUUUUUUUUUCAGUUUAGGAUGAAUGACAUUUAAACGGCUACCCUAAGAAGUUAAGGGCUAAUAAUACAAUUAUUCAACUUCUCAUGUGUUUUCGCACUGUUUCGAUUAAUGUUGUGCAAAAUUUAUCAUCUCCAUAUCCCACGUCCCUGAGGAGUUUGAGCACCAGGUGAUUACAUUCAACAUUGAUAAUAUUCCUAUUAAAAUCGUUUGUAUAUCUUUUAAACAUGAAUUUCAAUGGUACAAGGUCAAUUAGAUAAAGUUUGGUCUUGGUUAUUAGAAAGAGAUGCUUCGAUAUGGAAGGAGCAAUCUACU